GCGCCUGCGCGUUGCGCUGCAAUGGCUUGUCUCUGAGCUUCUGGAGACGCUUCGGGGUGACGUAGACGAUUCCCAGGCAACCGAAUGACUCUUGGUGAAAUAGUGGCACGCUCUACCCGUGACCCUUCCUGUGCUCGGGUCACGACCUGUCUGCGAAAAAACCCUAAAUUUAGCCUGGUGUAAUAUACAUCCCAAGUGCUGGACUCUUCUUGUCGACUUAGUCUCUCUGAGAUGUGAAGACUGAUAAAUGGUAACUUUGAAGGAAAGAGUCGUGGAAUCAUGGAACCCUCACGUGGCCUUUGGUUCAAAGGUUCCUAAACUUGCCUUCUUUGAGAUAUGCAGAGAAGACAGACAGAGGAUAAACCACUUGCUUAAAGUUAGGCAGUAAAAGGUUUUUAUGUAUUAGAGACACUGGAGUCAUCCCAGAUGGCAGCUUCAGGUAGAGUUCUCCUGGUAAGACUGAGAAACAAGGAGAGAGGGGGACUUUUUCAAGCUCAUAUCCUGGCACUGAGGAUUCUCCCCGCCUCCACCCUGGAGAGCUGGUCGGUUGGCCAGAGUUUCUCAUCAAGGAGUACAUGCUGUUUGCUCCCCAGAUGGACAGCCUGGAUGAGCUACAAAUCCACAGAGCCUGGGACACAAGAAAAUCUAAUAUUCAUCCAAGUGCUCCAAGUAGAAGACCCAACCUCAGAUGGGAUACUGGGUUGGGUUGAGGACACCAGAGGACUAGAGAAGCAGUAACAAACUGGAGUGACCCAGGGUACAAGGACAAGAAUGCCUCCAGAGGAAGAAGUUGAAGAGGAAGGGCAGCAAAAUGAUUGAAGAAUAAGUCUGGCUUCCUAUCCUCACCAGCUGCCAGCUUGGAGAAGCUGGAAAAGCAAGAGGAAGGUUCACAGGUCCAGGAUAGUGUCUGGUCACAGAGGAGUUAACUCAGGUCUGAAAUGCUCAGGAUUCUGAAAAAGUCAUGCUGGACUGGAGUUGAAGACCAUAAGGUGAAAUUGUUAAAGACAGCGGAGACAGACUAUGAUGUUAUAUUUUAUUGUUGUGUGAAAGGAAGAAAGGAUGACAGAUCAUUUGUCAGUCUGGCUUGGAUGAUCUUGGACUCAGAGUUCUGUAAGCCAUGGCCUAUGUACAAAAUAGCACAGCCUAUGGGCUCCUCGAGCCUGGAAGAGGUUGACCUUCCCUUUUACUGACCCAGAGGACCCCCGACCCUCCUGCAAGUUUGCUGCUGACCACUGUGUGUGCCCCUCAGCCAGCACUGACCCUCAGGGAGCAGGAGCUGGAAAGGAAGCUGAUCUCAGUUGUCCUACAACUCAUAAUCAUUUGAAGGAGAAGCCUGAGAAAACAUGGGAACAGGUUGGAGCACAUGCUGUGGUUUCGACAAUGCUUCUGGUGGUCCAGAGCACCCUUUCCUGAGGUGGGCCUGCAGUGACACCUGCCUGUCUAAUAAUCCAGUGACUCACUCUGUCCUGUGGAAGACACAUUGCUAGCUGUGACACUUAGGCAUUUAUCCCAAGCUACCUUUUCCAGUCUUCACCUGGUAAAGCAUGGAGGAGAGAGUAUGGAGGCUUCUGAAAAAGGUCAUGAACUCCCUCGAAUAGCUGAUGGGCCUGUGAGCACUGAGCCUCUCUCUCAAGCUUUUGUAUAGUACCUGGUGUUGCACCGGACCCUACCAUUCCUCUGCACUACUCCACUGUGAUUGCCCAUUUCCUUGUGUCUAGAGUUUUCUGAUUAUAAUGGAGGUCUUGAGGGUCAGGGACUGCCUUUGCCCAGAUCACCAUGCAACUUCCCUUGCUUAGCUCUGUAGCUGGCAGAGAAUAGGUAUUCAACAUUCACUGAAUAAAUGAAAAUCACAAAACUUUCCCCUACCUCUUAAAUAUUCCCCUGUCCUCAAGCUUAUGCAUACAAUGUUAGAGUCUUUUCGAGGAGCUCAGUGUCGGGACUUCUAUUUCAAGUGUUCAUCAAAAAUAAAGCAGGAAAAUUGUGAUGCCAAAUACCAAAGCAGCCUUUCUUCACCACAGACCAGAAAGAUGUGCACAUUGUUAGUCUCAAGAGAGGAAGGUCAAAGGAAAAAGUGUGAAGCGAACCUUUGUCCAAGUGCCUCAUUUUACCUUAGAUGACAAGGAGACCCAGGCUUUGUUCAAGGUCACAUUAUUAGUGGCAGAGGAAACCUGAACCUUCCAGCUUCCAGCCCAGUGCUCACCAAAAAACCCUCACCUUCC